UACAGCCAUGACACUGGAGUGUGCCUGAUCUUGUCUCAUCUCAGAAGCUAAGCAGGAUCAGGUCUGGUUAGUC
rnacentral:rRNA from 1 species